CAUGUCAUUCUCCAAACCUUUCUUCAUCUCUUCUACAUGUUCAAUAUCAGCUUGCAAAUCAUGCAACAUGCCCAACAUUUCAUUUUCUUUAGAAAAUGUGUUACUACUAGUUCCUUGAUCAUAAGGAUUACAACUACUCGUUCCUUCAUCAAGUCUAUGCAUAGCUCUAUGUAAAUUCAUAGUCUCUCCAUGAUACAUCUGGUAUAUGUAGAAGGAGGCCAUUUCAGUGGUUAAUAGAUGUCACUCCACACCCUCUAAUGAGUCCCCAUUCGAAUUCAUACAUCUAUUGCAUAACCUUAUUUUUACAUAAUUAUUGACAUGGUAUUUUGCAACCUCUAAAAAUUGGAAAACUCCUUUUUUGUACUCAACCAAAAACUUAUUCCUAAAUUUCAUCUAACUUUUGUUCAUCUCGUUAAAAGAACCUAAAACAUAAAUAGGUUGGAUUAGUUUUAUAUCUCUCAUCUCAAAUACUUCAACUUACUCCACGAACAAGCUAUAUUGUCCAAUCCCCCAUCUUGCACUAAAAUUAAGUUUAAAUCUAAACUAAGUUUAAAUCUACCUAACAGUUCCAACAUACCUAACACUUCAUAAACACUUAAUUAAAAACUACAUAAGAAUCCUCAACACUACUAACAUAUUAGAAACUAAUUUUGACAUAAAAAACUAGGCUACCAUAAUUGCAAGAUAUUCAUAAAAUAACGCAACCACAGAUUAUGUCAAUGUUUUCAAUUAAAUAUCUGACAUUUUCAAAAAUUCAAAUUCGAAUUGAAUUUAAAUAGAAAUUCAUAUUCAAAUUAAAAUUAAAAAUUCAAUCUCAAAUUCUAAAAACAUACAUUACACAUACAUUAUAUAAUAUGAAUUUACACAUACAAUCUCAAAUUUACACAUACAAUCUUAGACAAUCUCAUACAUUCCACAUGAAAACAUACACUAUAAUACAUUACCCAUAAAAUCUCAAAUUCAAAUUACACAUAAUAUCAAUGCACACAUUACAGAUACAUUUUUCUAAUACAUACAUUAUAUAAUGUUUACAUUUACUUUUAUAAUUUUUUUUAAAAAACUAACCUUGCUUUGUAGGAUGGUGGGGGUUGACGACGAGGGAGGACAAAUGAUGGUGGACAACGGCUACACUGACAGUGAAGAUGAACGACGGUGGAUGAACGACGACUUGUUCAUUUUCUUUCUUCUUCGUGCAUUAUGUGAACACAUAACAACAAAUAGAUUUAGGAAUUAUCGACGCAGUUUGAAAACGUCGGCCAAUAGACCUUUUCUCGACACCAUAAAGAAAAACAUUGACAUUAGUCGAAACUAAGGUCAGCGUUUCACUAAUGGGGUUGGAAAAAAAUUAAUCCGUAAAAUUUAUUACUAACUUUCCCCGACGGGGUAAAAGUGUAAGUUGACAUUAGUUUAUACUGAUGCUGAUGUUUGUACAGUUACUUCGGGAAAAUGUUAACAUUUAAAUAAUUAUUUAACUAUUUCCCGACGUCGUCCUCCAUUGCAUCAAGGAAAGCACAACAAUUACAUAUUUAUUUCAACAUUUUUCGAUGUUAUUGUCCUCAGUGUUGGGGAAAGUUUAAGAACAAAAUUAAUAUUUGACCUUUCCUCAUGUUGUUUUAUUGUGUGUCGGGGAAAUGUGGAUGAUAAAUUUUUAAAAAUGAAAGUGACGGAUCAAGCGCGACGUUUUGAAUUGUGAUGUCGGGCUUGCUCCUCUAAGUCGAUGCCAUAUUGCCUGCGUCGGUAUUGGUCAUUUGUGCCAACAUUUUAAUUUUCAACGUCGGUUUCGAUGUCAAAAUUUUUUUGAUUUCUUGUAGUGUCGUCCUUCAUGCUUUAAUUGUAACCUACCAGUGCUAAAGUUUCUUAUAGACGUAGGGCGUGUUUAUGAGCAAUAGUUGGAGUAGUGACUUUUUUUUAAAAAAUAGGUACAAUUGAUUUUGUAAAAUUGAUUUCUAAGCCAUCAAAAUUUUGUUUGGUUCCAAGCUUGUGAAAACGAUUUUCAAAUAUUUAUAAAAUUAUUUAACCAAUUAAUUAUAAUAAAUAUGUUUUACUAAUUUAUUUAUAUAUAUAUAUAUUUUUUAAAAUGUUUUUUAUUAAAAAGUUGGUCACAAACCGUUGCUGAAAACUGUAGUUGGAAACGAUGGUUGAUGGUAGUCAUCGAAAAAUGAUGAUUAGAGUUUGGUAGCACUGGUCACUGAAGCUGAUCAAAAGGUUGGCAAUGGGGCCGCGAGGAGACACUCCUCGUCCCCGUGGGGAAUCUCCAUCCACAUCCCUGCCUCAUUCCCCGUUUUAGGGAGUCGAGGUUGAAGAUUAGGUUUUUGUGAGGAAAAAUUCAUCAUUUCUAUUUUUUUAAUUAUUUUUAUUUAAAAUAAAUUCAAAUUAAUAGUAUUAAAAUUUUUAACAUUUUUUCAUUUAAAUUUUAAUUAAAAAGUUAAGUUAAUUUAAUUAUUUAAAGAAAAAAACUAACAAAAAGAAAUUGUUUUUAAAUUUAGGCAACAAAAUAUGCUAUAAAUAAAAUACAAAAUAAAUAUAUAUGUAAUAAAAUAAAAUAAAAAAGCUCUUUCCCAUGCCUCAUCUUCUUUAGAACAAUAAGAAAGAUCGUUAGAUCGUAUUUCCGUCAGCCUAAGUUUCAAGUCAAUUGACUUUGAUUCUUAUGUUUCAACUCCUUGAAUUUAUUUACAAGGUUCCAUAAGACAAUGAUAUUGUAGUCGAAAAGAAAAAGCCUAGGUUAAGACUCCUUUUGAGGUAAAACAAUAGCGCUUCCAAACGGAGAGGAGGAGGAACCUUCUAGGUAGGCGCCCUAGAUCUGAGAGGUGAAAAGCUCGUCUUUAAGGAGAGGUAGCAUUUCUUGAAGUUGAAGCUGGCCCUUGUGUCUUGAAAGAGAGGGUUCACUCUUCCUUAUUAAUUUCCGCCCAUCCUUUUUCUAAAAAGAUAUAUGAUGUCGUGAAUAACUAAGACAAAUCCCAUCGAGAACGAGAAGGGUUAAAAAAUUUGAGAGGCGAACACCUUAACAAGUAACGUAACAAUGGACUCUAAUUGAGAACAAUUUUCCACAAUUUUCACAAACUCCUUAGCAUAGAAUUGAUCGUUUUCUAUAAUUUUAUUCAAAUAAACACCAUACUCAAUCUAUUUGAUGUUUCGCAAACUUGAUAGAAAUUUUUUAUCUUAGCAUUAGUAGAUAUAUACAACGAGGUUCUUAUCAUUAGUAAAUUGAGAAAGGUUGUUAGCAUUAGAAAUGGUAGCAAAUAUUGCAAAUACUAAUAAAAAUAGGUCUAUACACCAUACCAUUGCUUUGAUAAGUAUACUUCAAAUAUAUAAUGUAGACUCGUAAAAGAUUAAGGAAACAUUAAUCAUAUAUUGAAGUCCUUGUUUUGAAGAUACCACGUUCAUAUGUAAUCAAUGCUAAAUUUAAUUUCACAUUAUUAGACAUUAAUAAUUGCAAUGCUUGAACUAAUACAUUAAUGCCACUAUUUUAGGGUGAUUAUGUGGUGGUUUGUUUGUUGUUUUCAUAAUAAAAAAUAUUGAGUUAAAAUCAUCAUGGUUUACAUCCUUUUAAAUUCGUUUAAUUUUAGUUUUUGUAAUUUUAAUUUUUCUUAAAGUAAACUAUUAUAAAAAAAAAAAAAUAAUAAACCAUAAAAACAACACUAUUCAGGCAGUGAAAUAUAAUGGGUGGAUAUGUUUUCAAAAAUUAAAAGCAAACAAACAACAAUUUCUUUAAUUAAAAUCAACCAAACAACUUGAUAUAUGAAUCGGUAGUUAUUCGAGCUAACUAAAAUAAAUAAAAAAACAUGGAGAUACUCUUUUUAAAUCGUUAUGACGUUCGAUUAAUCUUGUUUAUAACAAUUUUUAUUUUAAUAUUUACAAAUAAAAUAAAACAUUAUUGUCUACUUGUGAUAUAUCGUGAUAUACAUAUAUCACGAUAGACAUAUACAAUAGUCUAUUGUGGUUUAUGGGACCGUGAUAUUUGUACCUUCCUCAUUUAAAAUAUUUAUUUAAAAAAACUAUAACUAUUAUUAUAUUAUUAAAGGGGAAGGAAAAAAAAAAGUUAAAUAUGUAUUUUUGGAUGAGCCGAUUCCGAAAAUCCAGGCCCAAUUUAAAUGUAAAACUGUCGGAGCAAUUGGGCCGAGGUGGCCCACUUUGUACUUCAUGGUUGAGCAAAAUGCAGAGAAUCGGAGUUUUUAAACGCAUCGCCUUGAAUGAACGAAGAAAUCCAGGUAGUGGUAAAAGGAGGCCAUCUCGACCGCCCAAUUCAGUUCGACCUUCGCCGGUGAUCACCAUGUCCUCCACCCUACGAUCCUCCUCCGUCACCUUCUUCUUCUUCUCUUCCCUUCUCAUUUCCUCACUCUCCAUAGUCCUCGCUUCCGAGUCUGAUCACAAGGUACACAUUUCCUUCUUCUUGAUCUCACCAUUUCUUCCCCCCUCCAACUCCCAUGAAAGUCAAAAUGGUGAUGUUAAUUAGUUUACGCGCCAUUGUAUUGGUUCUUCACUGUCUAUUUUAGCCAUUAAAUUGUCAGAUCUUGCUAUCUUCUUUUGUAUUGACCCAGAUCUGUGGAAUCCCGCGUUCUUUUAGAUCUGGGUUUUUGGUUUAGUGGUUGUAGAAAUUGGUAUUUCUAGGUCUUGGAUGCUUGGGGAUGGGAUGGGGGAGGGGGAUUUUGGAUACCUUGUCUGAUUAUUUAUAUUUUUAAGCUCUCGGACUUCAUGAAUUUCGUUGGAUGUUCGUUUUAGUGGAGUGUGGAUGAUGCUAAGGGUUACGAGAUCUCAAUCUCGUCUGGAGUUGUACCUAUGCUAUCUUUUUUGCGUCGACAGUCUUUCACGUCCGAAAUGGACCUCUGAAGUGAAACGAAAUGGGGACGUACGAGAGAUCUUGGGUGUAUCACUAUAUUUUAUGCUCGUCGUGAGCCUGGAUGGUCGUUGAUAAUUGUCUUAAUUAGAUGGGAUAAUCAAAUUCAUACUUCUACGUCUUGUACUGGGCUAUCUUCGAAGUGUUAUAUGACCAGACAAAAUGUCUCAAUAUGAAUUAAAAAUCUCUAGCUGAUUGCCGAUCAACGCUCCACUGACAUUAAAUUUGGAUGGGAGGCUACCAAUCUGAUUUAUUGAUGCGUGUCCUAUGCGCUUUGAUUCUGACGGAUAGGAGAACUAUCAUUGUGUUUCUUGCACAUUGUUGUAUCCGUACUACGUUGGCAAUACUUUUCUACAUAGAGUAUCGACCCAGUAUUGUAAUAAGAGUCUAAUGGAUCCAAAUUUUGGGUUUCUUUAAAGCGUAAUAAGAGUCUAAUGGUAUCUGGCUAUCUGCCUCCAGAAAGAUUAAUAGCUCUAUCAGCUUUGGAUAUUUUUUAUGCUAUUAAUCAUUUUGUGUUAUUUCUGCAAUCACUUUAUUCUGCUGUUGCAGCCUGUGGUAAUUGUAAUUUUGGAUCAAACAAAAUUAUUGCCUUUAUGUAUACUUCAAUAAUCAGUUGCAGCUAUUUCAGAGUUCAGAUCUGAAAUAGCCUCCAUAGUCGUUUCUUAACUUAUCUAGGUCAAAUUUUCAACCAUGGCGUGAUUGUUGUCACACUGUCUUGUAUCUGACAUAUUUUCUUCCGUGCUUUUAAGAUAAUAUUAUUUUUACGUUAAUCUAUUCCUUCCAUUGUUCCACCCUUUUUCUAUUUUUCCUUGUAGUAUCUACAAGAUGAGUCAGUAACUCUAUGGGUGAAUAAAGUUGGUCCGUACAACAAUCCACAAGAAACAUACAAUUAUUACAGCCUUCCAUUUUGUCAUCCAUCUGGUCAUUCUGCUCACAAAUGGGGUGGUCUUGGCGAGGUCCUUGGAGGAAACGAACUUAUUGACAGCCAAAUUGAGAUUAAGUUCCAAAGUACGCCAACUUCUUUUCAUGUUGGAAGGUUGAAUUUAGGCCUUGUGGUGAUCAUGGAUGAACUGUUGCAACUACUUAACUUUUCUUUUUUGCAGAAAAUGUGGAGAGGACCACUAUUUGUCAACUGGAGCUUGAUGAAUCAAAGGUCAAGCAGUUUAAGGAUGCAAUUGAGAAUGGCUACUGGUUUGAGUUCUUUAUGGGUAUGUUCUACACAGGUUUCUUGUAUUAAAAACUUAGAAUUAGGGGCUCAAAUAGAGUGAUCCAAAUCCAAAGAAAUACUUAUAUCUAGAACAGAAAUUUGAAAUUUGGUGAACAGACUGUCACUAGAAGAUUUGGAGGUCUAGUAUUUUAAGACCGGUGCUCUGACCAUGCAUGAAGACACUAGAAUCUGUUUGAGUUUCCAUAUUUUUCUCUUACUUAAUUUCAUAUUUCUCAUGAGCUAAUUUAUAUGCUCGUGUAUUCUUUUCUUGUAUGACCGGUAAGCCCCAAGGGAAAGGAAUUGCAGUUUCAGCUUCAAAUCUAUUAUUAAAUAUUCGAUACAUGUUCUUAUUUUGUAGUUUCUCUCUGACUGUUGUACAUAACAAUUCUUGAUUGAAGUGUAAAACUUAAAUUUUGACUUUCAUUUAUUCGACGAAUGAAUUCUUUUCUACAGUUUAUUUAUGUCUAUUGGUUAUGCAAAAAAUUGUUGCAAGACCUACACAUAUCUCAUCCAUACUUUCUUCUGAUGUUUUAUUUCAUGAUGCUGGAUGGGGAAUAAUCUUCAGAUGAUUUGCCUCUGUGGGGUAAGUGCUUUCUCUUAUUACAUUUUAGUUUGAUAUCUUGAUCAACGAAAAAUUUGGUGGUCCAAAGUGAUGCUUAUUGCCCCUUUUCAUUUAAGGCUUUGUUGGUGAGUUGCAUCCUGACAAGAAUAGCAAUAACGUGAAGCAUGUCCUUUACACGCAUAAGAACAUCAUCAUCAAAUAUAAUAAAGACCAGGUUUGUUUUCCACCUCCUGAUUUGCAUAGUUUUUUAAUAUUUUUUUUGGGGGUUGGCAUUCAAUAUAGAUAUGAUUUAACAACUAAAUUGUGAUUUUUAUAGAUUAUUCACGUGAAUCUCACCCAAGAAAACUUAAAACCGUUAGAGGUUGGGAAGACACUGGACUUGACAUAUGCUGUGAAGUGGAUUUCGACUAAUGUCACUUUCGCUCGACGAUUUGAUAUUUAUUUGGACUACCCAUUCUUUGAGCAUCAGGUAAUGGAUGACCCUCCUUCUCCCUUAUUGUGUUAUUUUCAUAUCUUUGCCCUAUAUCUUGAGAUUCUUCCUUCCAUCUAACUUAGUAAAUUCUUUAACUUCUUGUGGUAUUUUGUUACAUGCCUGUGUUCACAUACCAUAUCGAAAUAAUUUUCUGGCAUUUGGAAACUUUGCAGAUUCAUUGGUUCUCCAUUUUCAAUUCAUUCAUGAUGGUCAUUUUCCUCACUGGUUUGGUCUCUAUGAUAUUGAUGAGGACUCUUAGAAAUGACUAUGCUAAAUAUGCACGUGAAGAUGAUGAUCUGGAAACCCUGGUCAUACUUUCUUCCCUAUCAUAUGUUAUAUGCUAGUUUAAGCUUCAAUGUCUUCAACUGUCAUUUUUCUCUAUCUUAUGACUUUUUGUUUUCUUUUUGUACCUUUUAUCUUCUUUUUCAGGAGCGAGACGUUAGUGAAGAGUCUGGCUGGAAACUUGUGCAUGGGGAUGUUUUCCGGCCUCCUCGUAACUUAGUAAUUCUUUCAGCUGUUGUUGGUACAGGUGCUCAGCUUGCAUUGCUUGUUCUGCUUGUCAUCCUAUUGGCAAUUGUUGGAAUGUUGUAUGUUGGGUAAGUCAGGAAAUCUAACUUUUGUAUGGAAGUGUGUCUGACAUUUUAAAUUAAGGUGUAUAAGGAAACAAAUUUAAGUAAUUUUUUUUGUAAUGUUUUAAAAGUUGUGUCAAUAAGCACUCAUCACAACCUGCUUAUGACCGCUCCAUCUAACUACAAACAAAGGGGAAGAUUGCAAGUGACACUUUUGUUGCUUUUCUAUAUACAGGAGAGGAGCAAUUGUCACAACUUUCAUUGUAUGCUAUGCUCUUACGUCAUCCAUUUCUGGUUAUGUUAGUGCUGGGAUGUACUCACGCAAUGGGGGUAAGUAUUUCUACUAGUUUAGUGACUGCACUGAUUUGUUAACUUUAGGCUUCAGCGCAAUAUUGAUUUGUAAAACUACCCAACAUAUUUCUUUGAGGUUAUAAUACCAGUAUACUUUAAAGAUUUCUUUCAGCGGCUUCAGCACUUGGCUUAAUUCUUUGGCCCUUUCUAACGUUGUUAUCAUGACAGGUAAAAACUGGAUAAAAUCAAUGAUCUUCACAGCAUCUCUAUUUCCAUUUUUGUGCUUUGGAAUUGGAUUCAUCUUGAACACUAUUGCUAUAUUCUAUGGGUCUCUAGCAGCCAUUCCUUUUGGUACGAUGGUUGUGGUCUUUGUCAUUUGGGCUUUCAUUUCUUUUCCUUUGGCUCUUCUUGGUACGGUAAUUGGACGUAAUUGGAGUGGUGCCCCUAACAAUCCAUGUCGUGUGAAGACUAUUCCUCGUCCUAUCCCUGAGAAGAAAUGGUACCUCACACCAUCUGUUGUAUCCAUGAUGGGAGGAUUGCUGCCUUUUGGCAGUAUUUUCAUAGAGAUGUAUUUUGUCUUUACAUCCUUCUGGAACUACAAGGUAGUAUUGUCUUGUUUCUUGUUGGAAGUUGAAAAUAAUUUGGAGUUUAGUAGUUAAUUAACUGUCAGUGUAGUAGUUCAAAACUUCAGUACACUGCAUGCUAAGUAACAUAACAUUUAAAUAAUCAUUUGGUUACUUUUAUGUCAUGUUUGGAUUAAUUAUAGAAAAAAACGUUUAUCCAAAAAGUCAUUUUUAUUUUAACUCUUUUGAUAAAACUGUUUAAAAUAGUCGUUAAUUGUGUCUUGUAAACUAUUUUGAGAGGUUGACAUUUCAUUUCUUCUCUUUCCAAAAUGACUUAUUUUUAAACUAAACACUUAAAAAAGUUAACAAAACACACCCUAAAGCACUUUAUGGAUGAGAUGCUUGUUUCUUCAAGUUUUAAAAUCAAUUUAGGAAUUCCAACAAGACGUUCUAGGAUGUGUUGGCAGUAUUGGAAUAGCAACUUACUAGCUCGGCCUAUAACUUGUUGUCCCCCUAUCCACAGGUGUACUACGUAUAUGGAUUCAUGCUGCUGGUUUUUCUAAUUCUCAUCAUAGUUACUGUCUGCGUGACCAUUGUGGGAACAUAUUUCUUGCUUAAUGCCGAGAACUAUCACUGGCAGUGGACUUCAUUUUUCUCUGCUGCUUCAACUGCUGUCUAUGUCUACUUCUACUCGAUAUACUACUAUUAUGUGAAGACCAAGAUGUCCGGCUUUUUCCAAACCAGCUUCUAUUUUGGAUACACUUUGAUGUUCUGCCUUGGGUUGGGAAUUCUUUGUGGUGAGUUUUACAAUUUUACUGGCAUAUUCAAGUUAUUACGUGCUUUCUCGUUCACCUUAAAAGUGGCAUCUUCAACAAUUGAACAUGAAGAAGGCUUUGUCUUUCUUAGUUCUGUCUAUGAGCAAAUGUUGAUGGUCAUCUGAGAGCCAAAUUUCUUGCUAUGUUUUGAUUUCUGUAUAUUUUUGUUCAUGUUUCUUUUCUUAUGACAUAAAAUUUGAAUUGUGCAGGAGCUGUUGGUUACUUGGGUUCCAAUUUGUUCGUACGGAGGAUCUACAGGAACAUCAAAUGUGAUUAGGGGUAUUUUUGGAAGCAGAAGACCUACGCUACCUUGAAGCAUUUUCAUAGUGGAGGCAAUAACUUCGAGAAGCCCUUGACACAUGGGAGGCCUAGCAACGCAGUAAUACCUGUAGAAAUUAAAAGAUUUUGAGAUGGGGACAUGUUCUUAGCCCUGAGAUAUUUUCUUUUUGGUAAUUGAUGCGUUUUGCCCAAGCUGUAAUUGAAUAUCUUGAUUUAGAGUUUGAGAGAUUGCUUUUCAUAAUGUAGAAAAGUUGACCAAAUUGUUAGACCCAUGUCAUUUUUAUAAUAUUUUUUUUUUUGUCUUCACACAUCAUAAAGAAAUGACCGAGGUCUAUUUCUAUAUUAUGGUUCUAUUUGAAAUGAUAGUCGAUGGAUUGACACUCAAGAAUUACUGAAGGAGUAAGACUGGCUUUAGGAUAUGAUUUUGAGUUUGGCAGUUUGGGAUGUAGUUGUGUGGAGGAAGAAACUUAGAAUAUAAGAAUCCCCAAAUUACUGAAAACUUUGUGACUUGAAUGAAAAAGCAAAAAGCAAAAAGAAUGUUUAUUGUAUAGUUUCUUGAGAGAGAGACUUAAAAUGAUGUAGAAGAUUAGGUUAAGGCCAUAUGAUUCUGUUGAAAGGUAGAGGAGCGUGUGGAAGCCAUGGCCUCUCAUUCCCAUGGUCCCAUGAUUGUUGAUAAAAUGACAGAGUAUUAGCUCGUAGCCUUUCAUUUCAUUUCUUAUCUACAGGUGUGGGCUCCUCUUCUACUACAAGCUGAGUAAGGCAUACGAAUAAGAUCCAGAAGUCAGUGGCCAUUCAUCUUGGUAGAGCAGCAAAAUGACCAGUUCACCAGCACUUUCCAGUGUGACAUUGAACACCUCGUUUCUCCAGAAGCAGCCAACAACAAGGAUAAGGUUGGUGUUGAACUUUGGCCAAGAUUUGUUUAAGCUGAAGGGUGGCAGCAGCCGAGGUGGGCGAGUGAUUGCAAUGGCAGAGUACAACGUGAAGUUGAUCACACCAACAGGAGAGACGGAGUUCAAGUGCCCGGAUGACGAAUACAUUCUUGAUCGAGCUGAGCAAAUGGGAUUUGAUCUUCCAUAUUCAUGUAGAGCAGGGUCUUGCUCUUCUUGUGCAGGGAAAGUAGUAUCAGGGAAGGUGGAUCAGUCAGAUGGGAGCUACCUUGAGGAUGAUCAGAUGGAUGAAGGUUGGGUUUUAACUUGUGUUGCUUACCCGCAGUCAGAUGUUGUCAUUGAGACACACAAGGAGGAAUAUCUAUUUAGUUAGUUAGUUAAGUCUGCUUCAAGAUCUAGUUAUUUAUCUCCAUGAAAUGAUUCUGGCUUGCCUUCAGGUCCUUAAUCAGAUGUCUCAUGGAGUUUUUUGAUCACUUUUCUUAGUUUUACACCAACAUUCUAAAACCAAUUUAGGUUAGGAUUUAAAUUGAUAUAUUUGUAAAAAUUUUAGAUUUAAAUUGGUACAAUUAUUUAGUUUAGGGUUUAGAUUGACAUAACUUCAAAGUUCAGGGUUUAAAUUGAUGCACAUUAUCUUAUACGACUCCAAAAAUUUAGAGAUAUAAAUUGAUAUUUGUUCUAAUUUUAAAUAACAUCACUAUGCAAGAGACUAUCGAUAACUAAGGUCCUCAUUUCAAGUAGAGAAUACCUCACUAUUGUAAUUAGAGCGUAAAACACACCACUAACAUAAUUAAAGUCUCAACAGAUUUUUUCAAUAAAAUCCAUAGAGGGUUCAUCCUUAGUUUACAUCAUAUUCGCAGACAGCUCGUUGAGAGCACGAAUGAUGUCUAACGAGUUCGAUUAUACCCACAAAAGAUGGCUGUUGACAAUAUAACCUCCCCUUCCAAUACGUCAAUGGGCUUAGUGCAAAUAGAAGAUCUUUGAGAGUCACAAACUGCCCACCCCACCCCUCCAACCAUCUAUCCUAACUCCCACGCCUCACUGACCUUAUUUCCAGAAAGCUGAAGACUUAUCAUUCAUCUUGAAGAUGCAAUGAAGAUUGAACUUCUCAUCAUCGCUAUGCAAGGAAUGAAGCUAAUUUUUGUAGCUCCACAAAACAAUAAUCACCUUCGUAAGAUCCAUAUUUCUCAGUUUGCCUACGGUCCUCGCCUAAAGGUCCAUCGACAUCGACUACCAAUCCUCUUUGCAAGAGAUAAGUGAACCAAAUGAGAUUAGAAAAGUAUUGUUCCCACACUUUUUGAGCAAACUAACACAAACCACAUAUUGUGGCAUGCGGUCUCCUUGUCUUUCCUGCAAAAUAAGCCAAAAAGAGUUCAUAGAAACUUUAGAAGUUGUGUUAUGAAGUAACUACGUGUUGGUUUGAUCUUUUGUAAAUUGACUAAAAUUCAGAAGAAACAUAGAUAGUCUAAAGGAAAGAAAAAUUGAAGUUUCACUUAAUUUCAUGUUUGAGAGCUAAAUUACAUUGUUAAAUAACUUAGGUUAGGCUAGGAAUUAAAUUGCAAAUGAUUUACCUUUAGCUUUACUAAUGAAAUUAAGUGACAUAUGCUCUUUAUUGGUUCAUGAUAUUUCAUAAAGUUUUGAAGUUUUUGCCAUUUAAAUUUGUGGUUUUCAAGUCUGUCCUUAAAUCCAAUUCUUCUAAAGGUUUUUAGUUAGGGAAAUACAAAUCUGAGAUAAUUUGCCAUUUUUUCUUGUUUUGGUGUGGUUUUGAAGCAUUAUUUUGAUCACAUUCUUUUAAAGCUCAAAUAUAUGUUUUGGUUCCAUUGUUUAAAAUGCUUCAAUUUAAUAUUUAAGAUAUGUUUGGAAUUUUAAUUUAAAGAAUAUAAUGUUUGGUAACGUCUGGAAAUAGCUUUGAAAUGUAUUUUAAAUAGUUUUUAUUACGUGAAUUUAAUAAAAUUAAGUUUUUUUAAAAAUAUUUUUUUAUUAAUAUAUGCAUGUAUUUAUUUGUUUCGAAUGUUUUUUAAAUAUAGAAAAUGAGCUAAUUUUUUUUAAAAAUAAAUAUAACGAAAUUAUACUUUCUAUAGACUCAAAAUAAUCAACAAUUACUUCAGUGAUAGACAUUGAGAGAUCGGAGUCUAUUAUUGAUAGAAAGUAGUUCUUCUUUCUUAUUUCCUUCUUCGUUAUGGUUCCUUGUGUGCAUUUUUAUCCAACAAGUUCCAAAUCUUUGAAAGAAAAGAUUUUUCAAAGAGAAAAAUUGUGAGUUUAAAAUUAUUUUUAAGGCCAAUAUCAAUUUACAAAUCUAAAUUUUAGGUCAUAUCAAUUAAAACUUUGAACUUUAAUUGUCACGAUGCCAUGUAAAAUAAAAGGAUCAAAUUCUCUUCUCGUGUAUGGAAAUUGAAAUCAAUAUAAGAUAAUUUAGUAAAUAAAGAUACUACUUUAAUUAUCAUAUAAAAUAUCAAUAGUUUCAAUCUCUUGCUUUACCACGGUUGAACUCAAAACAAUAACAAUAAAAAAUUCAAUGGGACAACAUGAGCGUAAAUCCAACUUGUUGUCCAUACAUGGGUGGAUUUAUUAAGGAGUCGGGACUCCUCUCACAUUCUCGAUUUUUGUAUUUUAAUAUUAAUUUUGAAGUGUUAGAUUGUAAUAUAUAUUAAAUAAUGUUUUACCUUUACUAAAUUCUAGUUUUGGUGUAAUAACUAUGCUCUUCUACAAAAUCGUAAGGUUUCGGGGUUAGAUAUUUGCCUAUUAUAAUUAUUUUUGUCAUUUGCUGCAUUCGAUAAACAAAAACUUAGUCGACUUGCUCAGUUUUAUCCAAGAGAAUUUUCAGCUAUUGAACUCUCUUGAGUUUGUUGAACUAAAAAGCAUUGGUGAUCUUGUAGUGAAAAUAGUUGUUACAAAAAGAGAUAAGGUCUACCCAUUAUUUUAUCCAUUGCUCACAUUGACAUUGAUUUUACCGGUUGCAACAACUACUUAGAGAAAACUUUUUUUGCUAUGAAUAUUAUGAAGACUCGACUACGUAAUCGAGUUGGAGAUCGAUAGAUGAAUUAUUGUCUUAUAGCUUAUAUUGAGAAAUAUUUCUUGGAUAAGUUGAUAAUAAACUUAUCAUAAAUCGAUUUUAAAAUAUAAAAACUCGUAGAGAAUAGUUGCAAUACGUAUUAAAUUAAUUAAUCUUUAAAGCUACUAAUAUUUUUUAAAACAUUUUUUAGUGUGUUUGUUAUAUAGUGUUCUUACAUAAAAUUUCUAGAUCCACCAUUGUGUUCAUAUAUAUUUCAUUUAACAUGUGUUAAAAAUGAAAAAGUCAGUGAUUUGAAUUUUCUCAUUCUAUCGAAUUAAAGAAAACUGUGUGUCAAUUCAUUCAAAUUUGAUAAGAUUCAUCCACUUCAACCCUUCUCUAUUCAUUACUAACCAAUGCAAAAAUUCAAUGACACCAAAUUGAAGUUCCACCCUUGUCUUAAGAAGAAUGUUUACACAAUGUCCUAAUCUUUUAAUGCAGUGUGUUUUUAUUAGUUUCAAGAAUUUAGUGGAUCCACUUAUCAUAUAAAUGUAAAAUAGAAAAUACUCAUACAAAGUCAUCACUAUGACACAAGUAGUCACCAAUAGACAAAAUUCUUUUAAUGAAUAAGUUAUUAUUUCAUCAUUUAGUUUCCAAAACUUAUAUAUUUUGAGUAAUUGAGAUUUGAAUUUAGGUUUGGUUUAAUUCCUUCAAGUUGGGAGAGUGACAUUUAGUUCUUUCUAAGUUUUGAGUUUUUAAAUUGUUUUUAAGUAAGAUUACAACUAAAUGAUAUAACAAAAUGGUGACGUUAUAGUUAGAUAUGUCGUUUAGACUUUUUUUAAAUUGCUAAUUCUUGUCAAAGAAAGUUAGAUUACAAGGUUUUUAUAAUACAAUAGGAUUGGAGGAAUUUGAAUCACAAGAUUGCAUAUUCAGUUAAACUACUUUUGCAAAAAUGAAAACUCAAUGAUGGAAAAAGAGUUCAAAUCUUGUGUAAUGUUCCAAGUUUAGGUGUGAGUCGUGAAUGAAUUAGGAUCAUUUCUAAUUGAGAUAGACUUAAAAACAUAAGAUAAUGGUUAAGAAAAACCCAAAAGAAUUGAAUGUUUCUACGUAUUCCAAGAAUGUGCCUUCUUCUUUUGGAUGACUCAAUCAUAUAAACUACAAAACAUUGGUGUUAGUUUGUGAUGCCAAUAGCGUUAAAUGGUAGAGACAAAGAGUAAUGUCGAGACCAUUAGACAUCGAAUCUAGAUUCCAAAUCCUAGUAAAUACUCGGGCUUGGGACAUCUCGAGACCAAAAGUAUAUUUUGUUUAUUGAUUAUUAUUGUAUUUUAAAAAAAUGGUUUAUGAAGGCAUUAGUACUCGGUAGCAGCUGUUGUUCACAUUUUGAAACCAAAUCUUUGGAAGGAUAAGAAUCCACAACCAUUACCAUUCGUUGCCAAAAGAUAAGGCGUUAACUCACAUCCACACGCUCUCUAUUUCACUCUCCACGUUAUAGCCACACGACCCAAAAAUCCUCUUUAAAAAACCCUCUCCACUCUCUCAAUUCCAUUUCAUCUCAUCUCAUCUCCAAUCCAACACAAGAACAAUAAGAAAAAUGAGCAGCACCACUGCAAUCACCUCCCCAUUUCCGGCCACCUCCUUCAUCCGUCGGAAUCCUACCGGUGGAGUGAGUUUCAAGCCAUUUCCCAACAUGGGUGAGUCUCUGUACGGGCUGAAACACCGCGGCGGACGACUGGCGAUGAAGGCAUACAAGGUGAAACUCAUAACCCCAGAUGGAGAGAAAACGGUUGAAUGUGAUGCUGAUCUUUACAUUUUGGAUGCGGCUGAGGAAAGUGGGCUUGAUCUUCCUUACUCUUGCAGAGCUGGGGCUUGUUCUUCAUGCGUUGGGAAAGUGGUAUCAGGGAAAUUGGAUCAAUCUGAUCAGAGUUUUCUUGAUGAUGAGCAAGUGGCUGAAGGUUGGGUUUUAACUUGUGUUGCUAGGCCUGAGUCUGAUCUUGUAAUUGAGACUCACAAGGAGGAUUCCUUUGCUGGUUAAAACAGAGGAACAAGAAGGGAUUAAACUUAUUUUUUCUUUUUAU
rnacentral:lncRNA from 1 species